UACGUAGGGGGCAAGCGUUAUCCGGAUUUACUGGGUGUAAAGGGAGCGUAGACGGAAUUGCAAGUCUGAUGUGAAAAUCCGGGGCCCAACCCCGGAACUGCAUUGGAAACUGUAUUUCUAGAGUGUCGGAGAGGCAAGUGGAAUUCCUGGUGUAGCGGUGAAAUGCUUAGAUAUAACUUAGAACUCCGAUAGCGAAGGCAGCUUACCAGACUGCGACUGACGCUGAAGCACGAGAGCGUGGGUAGCGAACAGG
rnacentral:rRNA from 1 species